rnacentral:rRNA from 1 species
UACGUAGGGUGCAAGCGUUGUCCGGAUUCAUUGGGCGUAAAGAGCGCGUAGGCGGCCCGGAAAGUGGGGUGUGAAAACCCGAGGCUCAACCUCGGGCGUGCACUCCAAACUCCCGGGCUCGAGGCAGGUAGGGGAGAUCGGAAUUCCUGGUGUAGCGGUGAAAUGCGUAGAGAUCAGGAGGAACACCCAUGGCGAAGGCAGCUCUCUGGUCGACCUCUGACGCUGAGACGCGAAAGCGUGGGGAGCGAACGGG